rnacentral:lncRNA from 1 species
UUAUACCACAUGGGAUGAAGAAAAUUGAAACGUAUAAAUAGAAACGUGAGUAGAGCUCGUGGAGGGGGCUCAUGCCAGUGAUGGCAUUGGAAGUUGGCUACUUUUGCCAUUUGUUUUAAAGCUGGACAUACUUGCUUUGUUAUAGGGUCAAAGCUUUGUCUGAAACCUUCAUUUUCUUUUAAAAUUGAAUAAAGUCUCUGUAUCCAGAUUCAUUGUAUGUACCUUUAUUGCUUCUGGAGGGUUCUUGCUGUAUAGACGGCCCUGCUUCAGUGUUGCUGCUUCAUCUUCCUAAUUGACCACUUGUAAUCAGUACACCAUUUUGUUAGUUUUUCAUUAAUUUCUAAUAUAAAAACUCCACACUUGUGGUUUGUGCUAAAUAACCCUGAACUUUGUGAUUAAUGUCACACUUAUGAUUGUGUGAAAUGACUUUGACCAUAAAAAUAAACUAUGGAGUCCUCUACUGACAUUAUUUGGUUUGACCGCCAAGUUUUAUUUAGUUUAGGGAGUUUAAAAUUUGUUCAUAUUGUUUGGAUGACAAUGAAAAUCAGAAACCACUUAGUAAUCAGUGUUUAGGUAUUUGAUUUGAAAUCCUUUACUGUGAUGGACUAAUUUAGCAAAUUGUUUUUGUCCCAAUUUAUGUGAAUUUUGGAACAAAGAGAUUCAUAGGAAAGAGCAUUGUAUUUCGGAGUAUAAAACUGAAAUGAAAGUGGUAGUUUUGUUAGCAGUAGUAGUGCAGAAUGAAAGAUCCUUAAGUUGGAUCAUAGGUUGAUGUGUGUUUAAUUCUGUUAAUUUGGAGGCUUUUUGGUGCAGUUGUUUGAUCAUGAGCCUGUUCACAAAAAUUCUUUAUGCAGAGUCUUAAGUAUCAAUGUCAGAAGAGAGAAUUGAGGUCACUCCGUGCAUUUUAUAUUCUUUUCCUUUUGGCAAUCAGGAUACUAAGAUAGAAUCUUCGGUUGGCUAAAUGUCCUUUCCCUUAAAAGCAUUUGGUUUUUCACAUCUUGUUCACUGACACCUUACGGCUCUUUUUCUAAAUUUAAGAUGCUUGAAAGCUGUUUCACAUUUCACAUGACAUACAGAAUUGGAGAUUGAUGAAUAAUAACGGGAAAUAAAUAGUAUCUUUCACAUAAUGUAGCUCUGGUUUCAAACACCAAUAUCGAGAAGUCUGCAUUUAUUUUUAAAAGAAGCAUUUCUCACAUACAUUAUAUAUAUUAUAUAUAUAUACAUGUAUGUAUGCGUGUAUACACAUGCACACACAACUGUAUGUAUGUAUGUCUAUGUAGUGCCUUUUUUGUGUUCUGAGGGAGUGGUACCCUGAGGUCUCGUCGUGUAGUUUUAGAGUUAAGAGUGGCAACAGUCUCGUGUGUGGAAAGUGUGGAAAGCCUCUCCAAUACUGCGAUGGUCUUGGAGGAGAGACAGUAUGGUGGUCUGUUCAGGGAAAGGGUUGUGCAGGCUUUGAAAAGUGGCUGCAUUGUGAAUCACUUGAUAACUCACAAACACAAUUUGCUUGAAAGAUAGCUACUGCCUCAAAAAGCAAUAUGUUUAUAUGUGAUGUUCUUUGUUAAGGAAUCAUUUCUCGUUUGAAGACAUAGUGUGAACGCUUCAGAACUGUUUUGGGCUUCUUAUUCCAACUGCAGGUUUAUUUUCCCCAUUGGAAACUGACUAUAUUUUAGAAAAAAUGAUUGUUGGAAGGUGAAAAUUUUUUAUCCUUUCUCACAAUUUAUUUUGGUUGUAUCUUCGUACAUGCUUAUUAAAUAUUUCAUACACUCAAUUGCAACUAUUUUGUUAUUUCUACAUCUUAGAUAAAUGCUAAAAAGAAAAACUUGGUUCUCACUGUUCAUUAAAUAAAUUAAGAAAAUAGUGUUGGUAUAGAAAUCAGAGAGAAUUGUGUUCCGCAUCCCUUGAAUCACAACAGAGCUUGUUGUGAAAUGUAACUAAAUGCUCUGCCCUCUGGAACUUGAGUUUGUAUGUUUGAGACAGACCUAAUUGCUAAGUAUAUUGUUUUAUCUUGUUUGGGCAUUGAAGUUUUAGUUUUUGUUUUUGUUUUAAUAACCAUGAAAAUGUGUUCUAUCAAACUAUUCAUACCUCUCGUCAGACAAUUUUUUUUUCCAGAACUAGUCUUGAUAUAGAUUUGCAUUUACGUAAUUUUUCCAUUUGUAUGGUUAUGAAGGCUUUGUAAAGCUUUGCUCAAAGUGUGUUUGUAAACACUGUCAAGGUAUUCUCAAUUUCAUGUGUAAAUUUUAUUGUCUGUUUUCGGUGACUUACAUUUAUGGAAAAGAAUAUUUCAUUAGGCUUAAUUUGUUUCUCCUGAGUUUUUAUUAGUGUUUAUUUUUCUUUUGGUUUUAUAGGAGUAGAGAAACCUGCAAAUGUAUUGUAAAAUAAGCAAAUUGUAAAUUUUUAAAACGAGUGCCCGACUUAGCUCAUAAGCAUAACUUGGAGGUGUUGCCUGUGUUUAUACUGUCUGGAUGUACAGUUCUGUACAGUGGCUGCUGUAGGCUCUGUCUUAAUGCAACAGUGUUACGUGAAACGUAGUUCCUGACUUGUUAUUUUACGUUGCUAAAGCAUUGACAAUUAAAGCUGCACUAGGAAAUGUCAACCUUACAGAGAGUAAUACUUAGUGUAGCGUAGGUCAGUCUUGAUCUGCUUGAUGAAAAUCUAGGCGUUCGUACAUAUAUGGAAGUAAGCAAGCACUCGUGGUUUUUAGGUGGAAAUACUCACCUUGCACAAAAAUGAGGAAACAAAAGCUAACUCAAACUUCAUUUUCCUGAACUCUGUGAUUGAUGACGUGUGUAAAAUAAAAUGCACUCAGUUUGAAAGCGUUGGAAAAUGAGUGAAGACCGUAAUCUGUCCAAUGACUCCCAGUCUGUGCUCUGGGGACGUUUCUGGCGGUGCUCACUGAGUACCUUUCCCACUCACAAUUGCCAUGUGUAAGUUAUUUUACUUCAGCUGUUUUACUGGCAGUUCUGUAGUCCAAACUUUUGAAAUCAAGUACAGCCAAAAGGCUGUUGACAGUGUGACCACAACAUUGCCAGCACAUCCUACUUUGGCAUCACUUAGCAAUUUUUGUUUAUAAAGAAGAAGUCUUGGAUACUGUUCAAUAAACUUGUCACAAAAUAAAGGCUGAUGCUUUAAUGCUUU